GUGGAGGGGUAGAAGGGGGGGAAAGAGCUUCGUGGAUGAUUGACAGGGAUGGCUUUGGACAUUCACAGGAAGUAGUCAGGAGUGCGUCUGGUCACAUGGGGCUCGCCGCGGCGGGGGGCGGGGUCAAACUGAAGGCUGAGGAGGCAGAAGAGCACACCUGUGAACUCCAGU